GAGUUUGAUCAUGGCUCAGGACGAACGCUGGCGGCGUGCCUAAUACAUGCAAGUAGAACGCUGAAGAGAGGAGCUUGCUCUUCUUGGAUGAGUUGCGAACGGGUGAGUAACGCGUAGGUAACCUGCCUUGUAGCGGGGGAUAACUAUUGGAAACGAUAGCUAAUACCGCAUAACAAUAGGUGACACAUGUCAUUUAUUUGAAAGGGGCAAUUGCUCCACUACAAGAUGGACCUGCGUUGUAUUAGCUAGUAGGUGAGGUAACGGCUCACCUAGGCGACGAUACAUAGCCGACCUGAGAGGGUGAUCGGCCACACUGGGACUGAGACACGGCCCAGACUCCUACGGGAGGCAGCAGUAGGGAAUCUUCGGCAAUGGGGGCAACCCUGACCGAGCAACGCCGCGUGAGUGAAGAAGGUUUUCGGAUCGUAAAGCUCUGUUGUAAGUCAAGAACGAGUGUGAGAGUGGAAAGUUCACACUGUGACGGUAGCUUACCAGAAAGGGACGGCUAACUACGUGCCAGCAGCCGCGGUAAUACGUAGGUCCCGAGCGUUGUCCGGAUUUAUUGGGCGUAAAGCGAGCGCAGGCGGUUUGAUAAGUCUGAAGUUAAAGGCUGUGGCUCAACCAUAGUUCGCUUUGGAAACUGUCAAACUUGAGUGCAGAAGGGGAGAGUGGAAUUCCAUGUGUAGCGGUGAAAUGCGUAGAUAUAUGGAGGAACACCGGUGGCGAAAGCGGCUCUCUGGUCUGUAACUGACGCUGAGGCUCGAAAGCGUGGGGAGCGAACAGGAUUAGAUACCCUGGUAGUCCACGCCGUAAACGAUGAGUGCUAGGUGUUGGAUCCUUUCCGGGAUUCAGUGCCGCAGCUAACGCAUUAAGCACUCCGCCUGGGGAGUACGACCGCAAGGUUGAAACUCAAAGGAAUUGACGGGGGCCCGCACAAGCGGUGGAGCAUGUGGUUUAAUUCGAAGCAACGCGAAGAACCUUACCAGGUCUUGACAUCCCGAUGCUAUUUCUAGAGAUAGAAAGUUACUUCGGUACAUCGGUGACAGGUGGUGCAUGGUUGUCGUCAGCUCGUGUCGUGAGAUGUUGGGUUAAGUCCCGCAACGAGCGCAACCCCUAUUGUUAGUUGCCAUCAUUCAGUUGGGCACUCUAGCGAGACUGCCGGUAAUAAACCGGAGGAAGGUGGGGAUGACGUCAAAUCAUCAUGCCCCUUAUGACCUGGGCUACACGCGUGCUACAAUGGUUGGUACAACGAGUUGCGAGUCGGUGACGGCAAGCUAAUCUCUUAAAGCCAAUCUCAGUUCGGAUUGUAGGCUGCAACUCGCCUACAUGAAGUCGGAAUCGCUAGUAAUCGCGGAUCAGCACGCCGCGGUGAAUACGUUCCCGGGCCUUGACACACCGCCCGUC
rnacentral:rRNA from 1 species